UCUUAAUAAGUUUAAGCAAUCCCAUGGCUUUAAAGGCUUGUAGUGAAAGAACCUAGUGGGGAAACCCCCACUCAACUCCCGAUGGCGUGCACCCAAGAAUCACGAACAGAACA
rnacentral:pre_miRNA from 7 species